UACGUAGGGUGCAAGCGUUGUCCGGAAUUAUUGGGCGUAAAGAGCUCGUAGGCGGUUUGUCGCGUCUGCUGUGAAAACCCGAGGCUCAACCUCGGGCCUGCAGUGGGUACGGGCAGACUAGAGUGCGGUAGGGGAGAUUGGAAUUCCUGGUGUAGCGGUGGAAUGCGCAGAUAUCAGGAGGAACACCAAUGGCGAAGGCAGAUCUCUGGGCCGUAACUGACGCUGAGGAGCGAAAGUGUGGGGAGCGAACAGA
rnacentral:rRNA from 1 species